rnacentral:rRNA from 1 species
GAUGAACGCUGGCGGCGUGCCUAAUACAUGCAAGUCGAGCGAACAGACGAGGAGCUUGCUCCUCUGACGUUAGCGGCGGACGGGUGAGUAACACGUGGAUAACCUACCUAUAAGACUGGGAUAACUUCGGGAAACCGGAGCUAAUACCGGAUAAUAUAUUGAACCGCAUGGGUCAAUAGUGAAAGACGGUUUUGCUGUCACUUAUAGAUGGAUCCGCGCCGCAUUGGCUAGUUGGUAAGGUAACGGCUUACCAAGGCAACGAUGCGUAGCCGACCUGAGAGGGUGAUCGGCCACACUGGAACUGAGCCACGGUCCAGGCUCCUACGGGACGCAGCAGUAGGGAAUCUUCCGCAGUGGGGGAAAGCUUGACGGAGCAACGCCGCGUCAGUGAUGAAGGUCUUCGGAUCGUAAAACUCUGUUAUUAGUGAAGAACAAAUGUGUAAGUAACUAUGCACGUCUUGACGGUACCUAAUCAGAAAGCCACGGCUAACUACGUG